rnacentral:lncRNA from 1 species
AACAAAAAGGAGAUGGGGAAUCAGUGGAAGUAUUAAAAUGAAAUGAGUUGUAGAACUGUAAGGCUCCAGCUGGGCCUGACUCCUGGCCCCAACCUGCCGGCCGGCAGAGACACUGUCCUCAGCCGCGAGCUCAGCUCAGCAGCACAGCCGUCAUGGGAAACCACAGGACGUGGAAAGGAGGUGGUCUUCUUGCCUUCUGUCUGCCUGCGUCCAGGGACAACAGAUUUCACGCCAUGCUGCCUUCUCACAAACCUGGUGCCUCUGCUGUUUGCUAAGUCCUUCCUGGUUUUUGGAUUCUGGAGUAGAGAGUUCUGCUGUUUCUCAGGUCCUUUCAGAAGUAGAGCCUUAAACAAAGGGUUGCACGCAGGCAGUUCACUGUAGAGGCGGAGAUCAGAGGGAACAAGCAGGAAUUCUGAGGAGGACAUGAGCGGAAAGCGCUGGACACACACAUUACAGUGUAGCAGUAUCCAUACCUGAAGUUGUUCAACUUUUAGAAACUUUGGACCAACCUAUUGAAUGCAUCUUGG